CAGUCGCCGCGGUAAUACGUAGGGUGCGAGCGUUAAUCGGAAUUACUGGGCGUAAAGCGUGCGCAGGCGGUUCGUUAAGACAGAUGUGAAAUCCCCGGGCUUAACCUGGGAACUGCAUUUGUGACUGGCGGGCUAGAGCAUGGCAGAGGGGGGUAGAAUUCCACGUGUAGCAGUGAAAUGCGUAGAGAUGUGGAGGAAUACCGAUGGCGAAGGCAGCCCCCUGGGCCAAUACUGACGCUCAUGCAUGAAAGCGUGGGGAGCAAACAGGAUUAGAUACCCCUGUAGUCCCUGUCUCUUAUAC
rnacentral:rRNA from 1 species